AUACGUAGGGGGCGAGCGUUGACCGGAAUGAUUGGGCGUAAAGGGCGCGUAGGCGGCGCGGUACGUCUGGAGUGAAAGUCCUGCUUUCAAGGUGGGAAUUGCUUUGGAUCCUGCCGCGCUUGAGUGCCGGAGAGGUUAUCGGAAUUCCCGGUGUAGCGGUGAAAUGCGUAGAGAUCGGGAGGAACACCAGUGGCGAAGGCAGGUAACUUGACUGUAACUGACGCUGAGGCGCGAAAGUGUGGGGAGCAAACAGGAUUAGAUACCCUGGUAGUCCACACUGUAAACGAUGAAUGCUAGGUGUAGGGGGUAUCGACCCCUUCUGUGCCGCAGUCAACACAAUAAGCAUUCCGCCUGGGGAGUACGGCCGCAAGGUUGAAACUCAAAGGAAUUGGCGGGG
rnacentral:rRNA from 1 species